rnacentral:tRNA from 1 species
CAAGAGGUAGCUUAUAACCAAAGCAUUCAGCUUACACCUGAAAGAUGUUAAAUAAAACCCACUUGA